GAAAGAUUUGACCACCGGAAGCCUGCCGCUGUGUCACUCAAAAGCCACACUCCGCUUUGAUCACUUCCUGAUGAAAGCCAAGAGAUGCUUUGAAAGCUGAUAUCUACCUGGUAAAACAGUGGACAAAGAGCUGAUGGGACAUUGCCAGAGUGCCUCACAAUUCCUCCCUCAAGGAACCAGAUUCCUCUCUGGAUGAGAUCCACGCUGAUGGCUGUGCAGAGUAUCAUAGCUUGAGAAAGUGGCAAUAUGAGCACUCAUGUCUUACUAUAAACCAGUUUCUUUCCUGCUUUAAUACGCAGAAGAGGAACUUUAUCAUCAUGCAUCCACACAUCCUGUGUCAUAAACAGGGAAGCAUUUUUUAGCCUUAAGAUGACAUUCAAGAGACAGACAAAUGCUGAUUUUAAUUAUGAAUUCUCUUCCAGUUAUAAUUCAUAGCUUAUUCAUGUUUGUUAAUCAGUGACUGUUUUAUGUAUUAAAUAAUUAGUCUGUUUGAGGCCUUUUCUUUAUAUUGCAAAAAUAAUCAGGAAUUCUAGCUAGCAUUUUUAAAUAAAUUUUAAAAAUAAUCUCUGGUGGUAUUGUAGCUAUUGUCCUUUUACCAAAAAUAAAAGUAGACAGCUUCCAGGUUAUAAUUAUUUUAACUUUGUUGAAAAGAAAUACUAUGGAUAAAAUUUGGGCCUGUAAACCUUGACCCAUGUCCUUUUGAUUUGUAUUGCAUGUACGAAGGAGUUAACAAAAACUGCAGAUAAAUUUUAGAAGAAAAAAAGUGAAAACUGUGUAGGAGGAUGCCAAGCAAUAGUUCUUAAGGUUGCAGUAAAUUGUUUGUACCUCACAUCACUACUGUAGAUUAUUCCAUUCAUGCUUUCUAAAAAGCAAUUAACAUAAGAACUAAAAAUACUGGAGCAAUAAUGAUAAUAUUUAAAACCCACAUAGGCCACUGAAAAGUUUUAAUUAAUUCUUGAUAUUCAUCAGGCUUAUAGCUAAUUAAUAUUAUGCUUGAAAACUAAAUUUCUAUGAAGCGAUUCAAUUUCAGCAUUAGUUGUCCUAAUGGUUAUUUUAUAGUCUAAUGCAGAGGCUAGUGUUCUUGCCUCAUGUGUCAGCUACCUUUCUCUCAUACAACUCUAAUGGCUGGAUGGCAUUCAAUCAGAUUAAUGAAAUAGCUGAAUUACAAUAGCGACAUAUUUCAGCCAAAUGAAUCAGUCACAAUUAAGUACUGCUAUGGCGUCUAGCUUUGAGCCAAACUAUCUGGUAAUCACUCACCAUCUUGGAACAAGGCACCUAUCCGUUAACAGCCCAGUAUCUAAGUGCAAUAACUCUCCAUUUAGUAUUUAGUGUUAUCUUCUAUGCUACUAUUAGUCCUAUGUAAAAGGAUAAGGUUACAUGUAGGGAGGAGAAUGCUAUUUUGAAGGUUAGAAUAUUCUCACCUUUAUAAGAAGGGAAGAAAGUGCCCUAUUGGUACAAUAUUCAACAUCCCUCUCACAGCUGAGAAAACACUGCCACAACUUCAGAAAUAAGAUAACACUGUAACAGUGUAUUUACUCAAAGGAGAAAAUUGUUAAAUCAAAAGGUUAGUCAUUGUAUUACUUUUAACUGAGGUUUGGGAAAUGUGUUACAACAGUUGGACACAGUACCCCAUGCUCCAAUGGUGUGAGAGAUACUUUAGCUUCAUUAGUGACUGAAAACUUCAGCAAUUGCGACAUUAUUGGUAUGUGGAGACCAUACUAAAGAGUGUAAUACACAGCUAAGACAACACACCAGGCUAUUUCCAAUCAGUUUUUUUCUACAGCACAUUCAAGCAUUAAAUACUGAACAGCCGCUGGCUAAAUUUACCAAGCUACAUUUUAUUCUUUUCUCUACCUGUCGAACAGAGCAACACUCCCUCUCUCACAGUGCUGAUGGAGUAUGACUGACACGAGGAUCAGCAAACCAGAGACUAGAACUACUCACAAUAGGAUCAGGGCACCAAGGAUCCAGUGAUUAGAGAGAUUGUGGAGAGCAUUGGAACCCAAAGGCCUAAUUCAGCAAAGUGUUUAAUCAUGUGUCUACAUGUAAAAAUGCAAAUAGCCCCAUGGCCCUGAUUCUCCACUAGGUCAAUAUGCAGCUUAGAGAUAGCGGAGCACGGUGGCUGCAGGGAGCCAGAUGCAGCUCGCGGACUCAGGCCUGGCAAAAUCUAAGGGGCAGCCCUCACAUAGGCCAGCAGAAGAUUGGGAGUAGUGGAGAUUUGCUCUGGCACACAUAUAUAUCUAAGUAUUCUAGCUAUGUAGCAUAUCGCUGCAGUUAAUUGCUACUGUCUUGCUGCCCUACCACAUUAGUUGCCGGCACAUCCAAAAUUCAGUUAACACACUUUAAUAAUGCAAUUUUUUUUUUUUUUGCAAAUAGGCUAAACAAAUCAGACAAAGGAACAAAGCAAUCACAUUUUUUCAGUGAUGAGAAAUCUAUGCUUUAAAAUUUACAGAAAAUUUUACUUUAUAGGUUAAAAAAAUUGAUUAGUGCAAUUAGAGAGAUAUUGCUAAAAUAAAGUUAACCAAAAACAGCUGCUCCUUAAAUACCUGCUGCUUCACUGAUGGGAAGGACUGUGACUCAGGGUAUGUCUACAUAGAAGCUGGAAGGUGUAAUUCCCAGCAUGGGUACACAUACAUGUGCUAGCUCUGCUCAAGCUGCCUAAGGGCAGGUCUACACUACUGCUUAAUUUGAUCUAACUUACACUGUGCAUGGGUGUGGAAACACCCCAGUGAGACAAAUUUCCCCACUGGCGCUAUGUUGGCAGGAGACACUCUCCCACUGACAGAGCUUACGCUUCUCACCGAGGUGACGUAAUCACACUGACUCCCAUCAGCAUGGCAUGUCUUCACCACAGCGGUGCAGCUGCGCCGAAGUAGACUUGCCCUGAGUACAAUCUUGCCCAACCUCCAGGUACAAAAAAGGGUGGCAGCCCGAGCCGCCAAAGCCACUUUGCUAUUUUAAGGUGCUAUCAUGUGCAUGUUUACCUGUGCUGGGAAUUACACCUCCCUGUAGACCAGUGGUUACCAAACUGGGGUUCACGAAAUGUUACAGGGGGUUCUCGGGGAAAAAAUUCCCUAAUGGCGGACACAGCGGUUCCU